rnacentral:rRNA from 1 species
UGUAAGAAAAGCUGGUGCGCCUUCAUGCAGUCGAACGGCAGCACGGACUUCGGUCUGGUGUGCGAGUGGCGAACGGGUGAGUAAUACAUCUGAACGUGCCUAUUACUGGGGGAUAACUACUCCAAAGAGUGGCUAAUACCGCUUGAGAUCUACGGAUGAAAACAAGGGAUCGCAACACCUUGUGCUACUAUUGCGGCCGAUGGCCGAUUAGGUAUUUGGUGGGAUAAAAGCUUACCAAGCCAACGAUCUGUAGCUGGUCUGAGAGGACGAUCAACCACACUGGCACUGAAACACGGCCCAAACUCCUACCGGAGGCAGCAGUGGGGAAUUUUGGACAAUGGGCGAGAGCCUGAUCCUGCGUUGCCCCGUGCACGAUGAAGGCCAUCGGGUUGGAAAUUGCUUUUGUACAGAACGAAGAGCUUCGGGUUAAUACCCUGGAGUCAUGACUGUGCCGUAACAAUAAGCACCGGCUAACUACGUGCCAGCCGCCGCGGGUAGGGGUA